rnacentral:rRNA from 1 species
UACGUAGGGUGCAAGCGUUGUCCGGAAUUAUUGGGCGUAAAGAGCUCGUAGGCGGUCUGUCGCGUCUGCUGUGAAAACUCAGGGCUUAACCCUGAGCUUGCAGUGGGUACGGGCAGACUAGAGUGCGGUAGGGGAGACUGGAAUUCCUGGUGUAGCGGUGAAAUGCGCAGAUAUCAGGAGGAACACCGGUGGGCGAAGGCGGGUC